rnacentral:rRNA from 1 species
GUACGGGAGGCAGCAGUGGGGAAUCUUGCACAAUGGGGGAAACCCUGAUGCAGCGACGCCGCGUGAGCGAUGAAGCCCUUCGGGGUGUAAAGCUCUUUCGGCAGGGAAGAUGAUGACGGUACCUGCAGAAGCAGCUGCGGCUAACUACGUGCCAGCAGCCGCGGUAAUACGUAGGCAGCGAGCGUUGUUCGGAGUUACUGGGCGUAAAGGGUGCGUAGGCGGUUGUUUAAGUUUGGUGUGAAAUCUCCCGGCUCAACUGGGAGGGUGCGCCGAAUACUGAAUGACUAGAGUGCGGGAGAGGAAAGUGGAAUUCCUGGUGUAGCGGUGAAAUGCGUAGAUAUCAGGAGGAACACCGGUGGUGUAGACGGCUUUCUGGACCGUAACUGACGCUGAGGCACGAAAGCGUGGGUAGCAAACAGGAUUAGAUACCCCGGU